rnacentral:rRNA from 1 species
AGCAGCCGCGGUAAUUCCAGCUCCAAUAGCGUAUAUUAAAGUUGUUGCAGUUAAAAAGCUCGUAGUUGAAUUUCGGGAUCAGUACGCUGGUCGUGCCUCCGGUAUGUACUGGUGUUACUGGUUCCUACCUUCUGAAGAACCGUCAUGUCAUUAAUUUGGUGUGGCGGGGAAUCAGGACUGUUACUUUGAAAAAAUUAGAGUGUUUAAAGCAGGCUCGCGCUUGAAUACAUUAGCAUGGAAUAAUGAAAUAGGACGCUCGAUCCUAUUUUGUUGGUUUCUAGGAUUGACGUAAUGAUUAAUAGGGAUAGUUGGGGGCAUUAGUAUUCAAUUGUCAGAGGUGAAAUUCUUGGAUUUAUUGAAGACUAACUACUGCGAAAGCAUUUGCCAAGGAUGUUUUCAUUAAUCAAGAACGAAAGUUAGGGGAUCGAAGACGAUCAGAUACCGUCGUAGUCUUAACCAUAAACUAUGCCGACUAGGGAUCGGAUGAUGUUAUUUUUAAUGA